CCACCUACGAAAAAUUACAUCAGAUUUAGGCCAAGUGCGAAUACCUCUUUCGCGAAGUGGCCACAGCGACAGAGAGUUUAGAAAUGGAGAGCCUUGAGUACAAGGAAACAACUGGCCCAUCGCCGCCUGUUCGACUGCCUCUGCAUUGUUGAAGAAAGGACCUAGAUAGAACUCAUUGAGUUCGACAUUGGCAGGCGCGAGAAAAGUCGGAGUUAUGUAUGGACGAUUCAAAAGUUUCUGAAAGUCAUCAAAAUUAAAGGAGUCGCCAGAUUGAGAUUGUGAAGUAGCCAUUAGAGAUGAAACAAAGUUUUUUCAGAGUUACGUAGCAGGAAAGCAAAAGAUGAACAGUAAAUCGUGGGAGAGAAACGCGAAAAAGUGAGGCGUGAUUUAAUGGUGCAGUGAAAUGGCGUGUUUGGGGGUUAUAAGGGUUUGCAAAACGUCGCACCUUUUCAAGCUAUGGAAGAAAACAAUGAUUGAAAUUUUUGGGAAUUUCGAAUGUUGUUGGAAACAUAAAGUGAAUAUGGCAAAAUUUAAUAAUUGGCAUUAAUUCUGCCAUAUUGGAGGGCAAUUGUUGACACAUAAAAAUUCAGCCCAAAUCGAACGGCCCAAGGAAUGAAG
rnacentral:lncRNA from 1 species